rnacentral:rRNA from 1 species
CCGUGAUAAAGUAGCAUAAUCACUCGUCAUUUAAUUGGUGACUGGAAUGAAUGGUUACACGAAUCUUUAACUGUCUCAAGAAGAAAGUUCAAUUAAUUUGAAAAAACAGUGAAGAUGCUGUUAACAAAAUUGUAAGACGAAAAGACCCUUUCGAGCUUUACUAUAAGCUUAUAGAAAAAAUCUUUAAUAAAAAUAUAAUAAAAACAAACUAUAAGCUAGUUAGUUUGGUUGGGGCGACCACCUCUAAAACAGUAUCAGAGGAAAUCUAAAGGUAUAAUAGUAAUAUUAAUUGCCUUACUGUAUACAAACAAGUUAAUCAGUUACUAUUAUGUAGGAUAUAAUGACCCGUUGAAUUAAUUUCAAAAUUCAACGACCAUGAAAAAAGUUACCGUAGGGAUAACAGGGUAAUAUUAUCAAAGAGUUCAUAUCGAUGAUGAU